rnacentral:rRNA from 1 species
CAAUAGCGUAUACUAAAGUUGUUGCGAUUAAAAAGCUCGUAGUUGGAUCUCAGGCAUGGGCGCACGGUCCGCCUCGCGGCGGUCACUGUGUGAUUGUAUUCCCAUCCUACGCUUCCCGGUUGUUCAGCCCAUGGUGCUCUUCAUUGAGCGUUUUGGGUGGCCGGAACGUUUACUUUGAAGAAAUUAGAGUGUUCAAAGCAGGCAUGUCGCCUGAAUAAUGGUGCAUGGAAUAAUGGAAUAGGACCUCGGUUCUAUUUUGCUGGUUUUCGGAACACGAGGUAAUGAUUAAGAGGGACAGACGGGGGCAUCCGUAUUGCGGUGUUAGAGGUGAAAUUCUUGGAUCAUCGCAAGACGAACAACUGCGAAAGCAUUUGCCAAGCAUGUUUUCAUUAG